GAAGUAGAGCAAAGAGGAUAAAAUGGGCCCAUUUUAGAAACACUUGAACAUUAUUCUGUAGCCUUCUUCCCUUUCGUUUCCGAGUCUGCUCCUGUGAAGUGCUGAGUGCCCUUCACUCCCAUUAUCCUCAUAGGAAGUGCUCUGCAUUUUCUCUGCAUUCUGAUUUUUCCAAAACAGCUAGCUGCCUCUUCAGGCAGUUUCAUAUUUUACUUAGGUUAUCUAGACAAAUAGGCUCAGCCUGAACAUCUCAGUGGGUCCCAUGACUGUAUUUGCUUUAUGACCUAAAUAUGAAAUGGUGAAAAAGAUACCUGUGGAACUCUCGCCAGGGUGAGCAUCUGAAUAUUGUUGACAGUCUUCUGGUGAGAGGCUGAUGGGACUGACUAGACUGCGGCAGAAUCUCAAACAGGUCCUGGCUUGGGGCAUGGCUGGAGCCCCCCUGCUGCAUCUCCCCACUUCUUCUCCACCUGCUCACUGAGGUCUCUGUCUCAGGCUCCUCCAAGGUAUCCAUGGUGGUCUGCAGCGUGCGGGAUAUUGGAGCAAUUAAAGAAAAGACGGCCCUCAGUAAUACUUCCCAGGUUUCAUACAGAGCCUUGCGUGCUGGGACAGGACUUGAGGAGUUUAGUCAGUGCUGUGAAAUCCAGAGAAAACUAUUAAAGGGCUGCAUGAUAGCAAGACUGAAAACUGAAGAGACAUUAAGGAAGGAAUAAUGAUGCUGAAGGAAAAUUAGCAAUUAUUUUCUCACCAUUCCGACACUGUUCGGCUUCACAAAAGCGAAUUCCUUCAGGAACACAGAUAAAGGAAUGGACAUGGGGAAUUCCAUUCUACAGAUUUAAAAC